ACGGGAGGCAGCAGUGAGGAAUAUUGGUCAAUGGACGAGAGUCUGAACCAGCCAAGUAGCGUGCAGGAUGACGGCCCUAUGGGUUGUAAACUGCUUUUGUACGGGAAUAAAGUGACCUACGUGUAGGUUUUUGCAUGUACCGUAAGAAUAAGGACCGGCUAAUUCCGUGCCAGCAGCCGCGGUAAUACGGAAGGUCCGGGCGUUAUCCGGAUUUAUUGGGUUUAAAGGGAGCGUAGGCGGGCGUUUAAGUCAGUGGUCAAAGCGUGUGGCUCAACCAUACCACGCCAUUGAUACUGGAUGCCUUGAGUGCACAUAAGGAUGGUGGAAUUCAUGGUGUAGCGGUGAAAUGCUUAGAUAUCAUGAAGAACUCCGAUUGCGAAGGCAGCUGUCCGGGGUGUAACUGACGCUAAUGCUCGAAAGUGCGGGUAUCAAACAGGAUUAGAUACCCUGGUA
rnacentral:rRNA from 1 species